UACGUAGGGGGCAAGCGUUGUCCGGAAUCAUUGGGCGUAAAGCGCGUGUAGGCGGCUCGGUAAGUCCGCUCUGAAAGUCCAAGGCUCAACCUUGGGAUGCGGGUGGAUACUGCCGGGCUCGAGUCCGGAAGAGGCGAGUGGAAUUCCUGGUGUAGCGGUGAAAUGCGUAGAGAUCGGGAGGAACACCAGUGGCGAAGGCGGCCUUCUGGACCAAUACUGACGCUCAUGCACGAAAGCGUGGGGAGCAAACAGG
rnacentral:rRNA from 1 species